rnacentral:rRNA from 1 species
GACGUAGGGCGCGAGCGUUGUCCGGAUUUAUUGGGCGUAAAGAGCUCGUAGGCGGCUUGUCGCGUCGACUGUGAAAAACCCGCGGCUCAACCGCGGGCCCUGCAGCCGAUACCGGGGCAGGCUAGAGUUCGGUAGGGGGAGACUGGAAUUCCUGGUGUAGCGGUGAAAUGCGCAGAUAUCAGGAGGAACACCGAUGGCGAAGGCAGGUCUCUGGGCCGAUACUGACGCUGAGGAGCGAAAGCGUGGGGAGCGAACAGG